UUCAAUUUUUAUACUUAGCGGGCUUUCAAAUAUUGGGGCCAAAACUUUUAGUAUUGACACAUUUUUACAAAUAAUAAAAUUUUACUACAAAAAAUAAACAUCUCUCCUUCUCUAGGUCUCUCUCUAGGGUUUCUGUAAAUUCACAUUUAGGCGUUUCAAAUCUGGCGAUGCAAAAUUGAAGAGAGGUGGAGAAGAUGAGUCUGCGUAGGGGUUCGAAAGUGUGGGUUCAGGACAGAGACUUUGCCUGGGUUGCGGAUGAGGUCAUCGAGUUUAUUGGCAAACAAGUUCAACUCCUCACUGAAUUUAACAAAAAAGGUGUUCUCCUCUCUCUCUCUCCCCCGCCCUCUCCCUCUCUCUCUUCCCCUCCCUCUCUCUUUCGCUUGCUCUCCCUCUCUCCGAUCUCUUCCCGCCUCAGUGUGUGUUGGAUUGAUGAUUAGUGAACUAGUCUCUAUGUGAAGUUGAAAAAUUGCAAUGAAUUAUGUGAAAUAAUUUCUUUGAAACUCUGUGUGUGUGUUUACAAUGAAGUAGUUUGUGUUUAUUUUUUUUGAUUUGAUUGGUUUUUUUUGUGGAGUCAAAUGAUAAAGUAGAAUACUGGUGGAAUUUGAUGAAUAUGAACUCUUAACUAAUUAGCCACAUUAAUAAAAAUUCUCGAUGGAUAUAUAUUGUUACUAAAUAUUCACAUAUGGUAGUGAAUUAAUUCACCUUGUGUAGCGAAUUAAUUGAUAAGCCCAGAAAAAGUGUUGCCUGUUAUUAAGGAACUCAUGAGCAGUGGCAUCAGUGUUUGGAUAUACAGAGGAGACACGGAUGGUCAACUUGCUCAAAUGUAAAGAUUAAUUAGGGUCAGUUUAUGCUAUGUACUCCAGAACAAAGAGAGUACUACCUCAAGUUCCUCGAAAAUGCACAGGAAAAAAGGUUAAGGCUAAAUCAUAGUCUAUAUAUAUAUCUGAAUAAAGUGAUAUUAGCAUUUUUAUCCGCUUCUUGCUGUUUAUAAUUUUCUAUAUCGGGUAUUAUCUUUUCCGCGUCAAGUCGUCAACUCAAUUGAUUAUCCCAUUGAUCGACAGGGAUAUGAUUCUGUAUUCGCGGAGUGGACUCUGAUUGCCAUCCCUCUCUGCAAACUAAAAAGCCUCUCGUUUAAAAUCAAAUUAUUUUUGUAACAGUAGCAUUUGAUUUCAAGGUUGUGUUAAGUCUGACCUCGGAUGAUGAUAGGAGAAGGUGAGUGAAAUUAAUUUGGGGGUUGUUUUGGUAAGAGGGCAAUAGAUUUGCUCUACUAUGUAUUGUUAUAUUCUUGAAUACAAUCACCGUGUUUAUUCCAAUCGCAGUGCAGAUGUUAGUCUAAUUCACUCUGCAAAUUACCCCUACUUAAUUCUUAUAAUAAUAUAUUAAAUGGAGGAGGUAUCUGAAGCAGACCCAUCCCACUUACUCCUCCACCACUUGGACUCUAUUUUGGACUCUGAUCCUUAUAUGUAAGUCUUAUUUCUGAUCCUUUUAUGUAAGUCUUUCUUCCAUUCAACUCACAUUCACCUUGUGUUAAUUUACGAUAUAUUCCUUACUAGUCGUUGAUUGUUUUCUAGUAAUGAAGUGGGACAGUAUAAUGAUAGCAAACUUCUUAUUUUGGAAUUGCAUGGAAUGACAGGUCUUCUUUUCUAUUAUGUGUCAUGCCUUUGAUUUUUAUCUGCUCACAUAUCGAAUACUAAAAUAAUGGUACAUGAUUCCUGGAGCCGGUAGUGGCGUAAUUAAAUGGUAAUCGGCUGAUAUUUGUCAAUAAAGACGUCCACCUCAAGGGGUCUAUAUAGGUGUGGCAUAGUAAUAUGCAGUAUGCCUAUUCCUGAAUAAAGAAUUAUAGUCAGUCCAUGAUAAGAAUUCAGUCGAACAAGCUUAGUACUUGAGUAUAUCAUCUAUCCAGUUGGAUCUGCAGUUGCAAAAUACCACUGUUAUGUGGUUGAAUAUAUUUGUAUUAGUUGCAUUUAAUCCAAUAAAAUUAAUUAUGCUUUAUGGUCCUCUGUUUAGAACUUGAAGACAAGUAUUUAAUAUUAGUGUUGGCAGUCAAAGAGCACUAAUAGGUUACUCAUGAACUAAAUAUUUUGAAAUAAUGAAAUGUUAUAUUUUAAGUGAUGAGCUUUACGUAGAAUUUUAAAGACACAGACUUUGCAAUACAUUCUACAUCAAUACAAGUUGUCACAGCAGUCGCAGGCCACAACAUCCAAUAAGCUAACCAGUAAAUUAAUGCUACUAGCACUUUAUUCAUUUAAGAGGACAGUUAGUACAUAACCAGUAAAUUUAUAUUACUUCCGUUAGCUAAUUGGUGUUGUACACUUAUGGUUAGGUUUGCACUAGUGGUAGUGGACAGUGCAACUGCUCUGUAUAGGAUAGAUUUUUCUGGAAAUGGAGAACUGUCAGCUAGGCAGAUGCAUCUUAGCAAGUUCUUGAGGAGCCUGCAAAAGUUACCAGUCUAUGCUGGUAAAACUUGGUUUGUACAUCCUAUAUGAGCGGUGAAUAAUAGCAGAGAUUAUAUUUCAAUGCGGACUAUACAAGAUUAUCUAGAAAAUUUAGAGGGUCACUUGCUGAAGCUGAAAGCUACUCCUGAUGAUGUUGUAGCCAUUCAGAAAAUGAUGUUGCUCUGCAUACUGAAGAUGAAAGAAUUAUUUGGUCUUAGUAGUUGCAUGCUCUUUACAAAUCAGGAUCAUGUGAAUCUCCAUCCGCGCUAAGUUACUCCACUGGCUCUGUCACCCCAGAAGAAUCAUGUUUGUUGUAUAUCUUAUUGACGUGCACAUAUAUUAUGGAUAAGUGAGAAGGAGAAACAUAUAUGUUUAAGCCAACUCCUGCAGAACCACUAAAGGCGAAAGAACGUGCACAAGCAUUACGGACAAUCUACUAGAAAUUAUUACAACUAGGAUUUUUCUUGUAAAAAAUUGACAGGAUUUUUUUUAGUUUUCAUUCUUAUAUUUCUUUCUUAUUUAAUUUUACUAAAUUAUAAUCAAGGAAAUUUGAAUGUGAUUUUUUGUUUGAUA